GACGAACGCUGGCGGCGUGCUUAACACAUGCAAGUCGAACGGAAAGGCCCUGCUGGUGUGGGGUGCUCGAGUGGCGAACGGGUGAGUAACACGUGAGUAACCUGCCCUUGACUUUGGGAUAACGUCAGGAAACUGGGGAUAAUACCGGAUAGGAGCUCCUGCUGCAUGGUGGGGGUUGGAAAGUUUCGGCGGGUGGGGAUGGACUCGCGGCUGAUCAGCUUGUUGGUGGGGUAGUGGCUUACCAAGGCUUUGACGGGUAGCCGGCCUGAGAGGGUGACCGGGCACAUUGGGACUGAGAUACGGCCCAGACUGCUACGGGAGGCAGCAGUGGGGAAUAUUGCACAGUGGGCGGAAGCCUGAUGCAGCAACGCCGCGUGCGGGAUGACGGCCUUCGGGUUGUAAACCGCUUUCGCCUGUGACGAAGCGUGAGUGACGGUAAUGGGUAAAGAAGCACCGGCUAACUACGUG
rnacentral:rRNA from 1 species